rnacentral:rRNA from 1 species
GGAUCCAGACUUUGAUCCUGGCUCACGAUGAACGCUAGCUACAGGCUUAACACAUGCAAGUCGAGGGGAAACGAUAUUGGAAGCUUGCUUCCGAUAGGCGUCGACCGGCGCACGGGUGAGUAACGCGUAUCCAACCUGCCCAUCACUUGGGGAUAACCUUGCGAAAGUAAGACUAAUACCCAAUGACGUCUCUAGAAGACAUCUGAAAGAGAUUAAAGAUUCAUCGGUGAUGGAUGGGGAUGCGUCUGAUUAGCUUGUUGGCGGGGUAACGGCCCACCAAGGCGACGAUCAGUAGGGGUUCUGAGAGGAAGGUCCCCCACAUCGGAACUGAGACACGGUCCAAACUCCUACGGUAGGCAGCAGUGAGGAAUAUUGGUCAAUGGGCGAGAGCCUGAACCAGCCAAGUAGCGUGCAGGAUGACGGCCCUAUGGGUUGUAAACUGCUUUUAUAAGGGAAUAAAGUGAGCCUCGUGAGGCUUUUUGCAUGUACCUUAUGAAUAAGGACCGGCUAAUUCCGUGCCAGCAGCCGCGGUAAUACGGAAGGUCCGGGCGUUAUCCGGAUUUAUUGGGUUUAAAGGGAGCGUAGGCCGGAGAUUAAGCGUGUUGUGAAAUGUAGAUGCUCAACAUCUGCACUGCAGCGCGAACUGGUUUCCUUGAGUACGCACAAAGUGGGCGGAAUUCGUGGUGUAGCGGUGAAAUGCUUAGAUAUCACGAAGAACUCCGAUUGCGAAGGCAGCUCACUGGAGCGCAACUGACGCUGAAGCUCGAAAGUGCGGGUAUCGAACAGGAUUAGAUACCCUGGUAGUCCGCAUGGUAAACGAUGGAUGCCCGCUGUUGGUCUGAAUAGGUCAGCGGCCGAGCGAAAGCAUUAAGCAUCCCACCUGGGGAGUACGCCGGCAACGGUGCAACUCAAAGGAAUUGACGG